rnacentral:rRNA from 1 species
AUUGAACGCUGGCGGCAUGCCUUACACAUGCAAGUCGAACGGCAGCACGGGAGCAAUCCUGGUGGCGAGUGGCGAACGGGUGAGUAAUAUAUCGGAACGUGCCCAGUCGUGGGGGAUAACGUAGCGAAAGCUACGCUAAUACCGCAUACGAUCUAUGGAUGAAAGCGGGGGAUCGCAAGACCUCGCGCGAUUGGAGCGGCCGAUAUCAGAUUAGGUAGUUGGUGAGGUAAAGGCUCACCAAGCCAACGAUCUGUAGCUGGUCUGAGAGGACGACCAGCCACACUGGGACUGAGACACGGCCCAGACUCCUACGGGAGGCAGCAGUGGGGAAUUUUGGACAAUGGGCGCAAGCCUGAUCCAGCAAUGCCGCGUGCAGGAU